GAAAUAUUGAAUUGAAUCAUUGGGCAUUCAUGAAUCCGUGGUAUUUGGAUGUGUCUGAAACUGCCUGGAUUAAUGCUCAUUAUUAAUGAACUGCAAAGGCAGCCAAGACUCAAAACUUUCCACUGACACGCUCCUGAUUGUGUUAAAAAAAGAAACAAGACGAUGCUCACUGAAAGCAGAAAUGUAGGCUUAAGGACAAAGCUUGACACAAACUGGUGUUUCUUGCUCUGAUAGUAAAGAUGGGAAAAGUGAACUGAAAUUUAAGUUUGGUCAGAAUACACUAUUAUGUAGUGUGACUGAGAGCAACAUGCUAAUUAUCCAAAACCAAGAGUUAAUGUUUGACAGAUCAAAGUAAAACUCAUUAUGAUUUGAUGAGACAUCUAUAGAAUAAGCUAAGCUAAGCUAAGCUAAGCUAAGCUAAGAUAAGAUAAGACUAUUGAUCCCACGACGGGGAAAUUUUUUGCGUUACAGAUAUCAGAAGGAAAUACAAAAAUACAAAAAAGUACAAUCAAUGAAAAAAAAAAGUAAGAUAAUACACUGUAUACAAUGGUAGCAUACACAGUAUGUGAUGAUGGAUAUGGUUGGAAAUAUGCAAGACAUAAACUAUAUAGCUUGACAUAGAAUAGAAUAGCCUUUAUUGUCAUUGUACAGAGUACAACGAAAUUGGAGUGCCACUCCCUUGGUGCAAGUUUCAAUAAUAAAUAUAAAUGUUUUUGUUUGUUUUUUUUUGUUUUUUUUGCCUGUCCCGUUUGGCUCUUUUGCCAUCAGAAUUGUUGUCUAAAGGCAAAGAAAGAUGCCCAACGGAUUUACUUUACCAAAUUGACCAUCCCAGCCUUGCCAUAAUGGUCCAUUUGAUUCACCUUUUAUUGUUUAUUUUAUUUUCACUUACUGAAUAUAGGACAGACUUGACUGGGGGAAAGAAGGGGAGAAAGAAAGAGGGAAAGAGAAACAGCUGAGAAGAGGGACGGGGGAGAAGGGCAAAAACCAAAAACCAACAGAACGGGCAGAAAAAGAAAAAAAGAAGAAAAAAAGAAAAAAAAAUGCAUAUAUCAAUCACCUGGGUCACCUGCUGAGAAAGAAAAAAGAAAACAAGCAGAAGAGAACAAGAGUAAUAGAAUAAACAACAUCACAAUGAUAUAUGGGAAUAUGACAGUAAAUACUAAAUAUUAAACAUUAUUGUGCAGCACAUAAGAUCAACAGAAUAAAUAUAAAUGUAAAAUAUAAAAAGUACAAAAAAAACAAUCGUAAGUACUCAAACAAUAGUACAAUAUAUACAGGAUAGCAGCAUUAAUAUAAUGACAGUAUGAAUAGCAGCAUAAUAUAAUGACAGUGACAGUAUGGAAUAGGUUCAAUUGUUUUUGUGCUUAUUUACUAUGUUGGUAGCUCUGGGAAAGAAGCUAUCCCUGAAUCUGUUUGUCUUGGUUUUAUGUGAUCUGUACCAUCGGCCUGACGGUAAUAGUUCAAACAGUUGGUUGCUGGGGUGAGAGUAGUCCUUGAUGAUAUUGCCAGCUCUGCUGAGGUACCGAGAGUUUGCAGUGACCCCCAGGCUGGGCAGAGAGCAGCCAGUGAUCUUCUGGGCUGUGUUGAUGACCCUCUGCAGUACUUUCCUGUCCGCAGCUGAGCAC
ensembl:lncRNA